CUCGACCACACGUGCCUGCUGCUCGCUGCCGUCGUUGAUUUGUUGGACAUGGAUUUGGGUCCACUUGAACCUGAGUGGUGGCACUCCUCCAGUGUAGAAAUUUUCUGUUGGAGAGAAGGAUUUUGUGCCCCAAAGCAGCAAGGCUGCGAGGCAAAGCAGUCGCCGCAGGGAUCGGGCUUGCCUGCUUCCUUCCCAUGCUCCCAUCCGUUCUUCCACCUCAUCCAACGGCUGUUUUUUUUUCUUUUUUCUUUCUAAUCUAAUCAUCUCCUUCCUGAUUUUAAGGGGGUGGGACCGGGCAAGUCUCGUCCUCGCCGCAGAGGCCACUGGAGAAAAUGAGAGAUUCGUUUCCCUGAGUGGCGUUGCUCUCCUAUUUGUGGCACUGGCUGAGAGCUGUGUUGUCGGGUUCGACGGCCAUGUUCUUCGUAGUGUUCUAGGAUAUACUUUAUAGUUAUGUGACUUGCCAUCGAUGUGCCUUGCAUUAUUUUAGGGAAUUGAACCUAUAUUAUUUUUAGUUGACAUUCUGCCCAAUUUUGAUUAUUGUCUCUUCAACACACCUGUACAAAUUAUAUGAAGUUUCCUAUAGCAAAAAGUGUUCAAUAUUUGUUGGAUAAAAGGUGCAUUCUUUCUAUUUGUUGUUACCAUAUAUUAGCAAUUUAUAUUAACAGUAGCUAUAUUUAAGACAAAGGAAGAAUGCUUGCAUGUAUUAACUGAAUUUGGCCCAUAUAUGUUAAUUGACAUGCAAUAGAUUUUAUAUUUUUCACAUGUGUUGUUUUUCGACAAAUUCACAUGUGUUGUAGGAGAUGCCUCUAAUACUGAAGCUUUUCUCAUCAUUCUCUUCAAUCGAAAAGGCUGUAGAAUAAAAGGGUUAUUUCCAAGAACAUUAAACUCACAAAAGUGCAUGUAUGAAUGUAUUUCGAAUAAUUACAAUUUGACAUGCUUCUCAUAGUGCUAACUUUUGACCCUUAUCUAAUAACUGCCGCCCUUAUACUGAUCGAUGUCAAGCAUUAUUUCUCUACCUCAGUAAACAUAAAUGGUUUGCUUGGUGCUAAUCAGAUCUUGCCAUCCAAUAAGCUUAGCAUUUUUUACAUACCACUGUUAUUAGUGCAGAGUAAAUAUAAUAUGAAAGUUCUCAUUCAAAUUAGCAGAAUAUGCUUACCAGGUGUAGAUAUGUACCACAAUUUUCGCAGUAACACCUUCCACUUCCCUUUGUACGUAGUUAGUUUGUGUCAAUCGGAAUUUGCUCAUUUGAAUAUUUUCGUGUAAUAGAUUAUUAUACCUAUUGUUGUGAAAAACAAAAUCCUAAAAUAAUCACCCAAAAAAUUAAAGUUAUCAUCCCGAAGAAGUUGACAGACAAAUAAUUCAGAUAUGAUUCCAUUAUAACUGAUAUGACUCAAUUGUCAGAAAAGCACUGCAGGUCUGAGAGUGUCGUUUUCCUCAAGAAGUGGUGAUAUCAUAUCUUAGAAGAAGUUUGAUCCAUCACCUGAUGUGUCUGGUUUUUGUGCCUCAUUCCAGAACACACCAAGAAGGAGAAUUCCAGCAGCUGGAAAUUUAGACCUGAAAAAGCUACGCCAG